GAUGAACGCUAGCGGUGUGCCUAAUGCAUGCAAGUCGAACGGGAUCCUUUGGACUCGUCUGAAGGUGAGAGUGGCGAACGGGUGAGUAUCGCGUUGGUGACCUGCCCCAGAGAGGGGGACAACCAGUGGAAACGCUGGCUAAUACCCCAGAUGUCAUUGUGUUUAGAAAGCAAUGACUAAAGCUCCGGCGCUCUGGGAGGGGCCCGCGUCCCAUCAGCUAGUUGGUAGGGUAAUGGCCUACCAAGGCAAAGACGGGUAGGGGGCGUGAGAGCGUGGCCCCCCACACUGGUACUGAAACACGGACCAGAUACCUACGGGUAGCAGCAGCAAGGAAUAUUGCCCAAUGGACGAAAGUCUGAGGCAGCAACACCGCGUGGAGGACGAAGGCCUUCGGGUUGUAAACUCCUUUUCUAGGGGAAGAGAAAGGACGGUACCCUAGGAAUAAGGCCCGGCUAACUACGUGCCAGCAGCCGCGGUAAAACGUAGGGGUCAAGCGUUAUCCGGAUUUACUGGGCGUAAAGCGCAUGUAGGCGGUUGCUUAAGUCGGACGUGAAAGCUCCUGGCUCAACUGGGAGAGGCCGUUCGAAACUAGGCAACUUGAGGGUGGUAGAGGAGAGUGGAAUUCCCGGUGUAGUGGUGAAAUGCGUAGAUAU
rnacentral:rRNA from 1 species